rnacentral:rRNA from 1 species
UACGAGGGGUGCAAGCGUUAUUCGGAAUCAUUGGGCGUAAAGGGUGUGUAGGCGGCAGCCUAAGUCAACUGUUAAAGACCCCGGCCUAACUGGGGACAGGCGGUAGAUACUGGGUUGCUAGAGGAAGGAAGAGAGAAGUGGAAUUCUCGGAGUAGCGGUAAAAUGCGUGGAUCUCGAGAGGAACACCAAUGGCGAAGGCAGCUUCUUGGUCCUUUCCUGACGCUGAGACACGAAAGCGUGGGGAGCAAACAGGAUUAGAUACCCGCGUA